rnacentral:lncRNA from 10 species
AGAUCUUUGGGGCCAUUAAGGCAGAGCUGCAGGGCCUAGAGAUUGAGAUGCUGGGGACGCUUGAGGAAGCUGCUCGACUGUGAGAAUGUCGCCAGAGUGAAACAGAGUCCUAGCCCACCUGGCACCUCUUCCUCCAACUCUUUACUGCCCUCUGUUGGAAAACUCGCGUAAUAUACAAAGGAGUCUCUCUCUGUGGCCACCACUGCUCCAGGCCCAUGGCAGGUACUGCCUGGCUACUGCUGAUGUUCACUCAAGGCCCAGGCCCUCUUCAGUCAGCUUGUGUUUUGCAGGUAAUUUGGAACUCUGGGAAACAUCUCCAAACCUCUUCCACGUCUGCAAAAUCUUGCCUUUGCGGGGAUGGAGACUGGACAAAGUGUACAAGGAAGCUCCCUGCAUUCUUUCUUACAUCUGCAUGUGAAUCUACAAUUAUCUCAAAAAUUUUCCAAAGAAAACAUUCCAAGGACUCCGGGCUUGGAACUCCAAGAAGAGCGACUGAAUGAGGCCCUUCCAGCCCAGCUGAAUACAACUGGGUACAAAUAA